AGAAUGGCCUGAGUUAAAAAGGACCACAAAGAUGAUCUAGUUUCAACCCCCUGCUAUGUGGAGGGUCACCAACCACUCAACCAGGCUGCCCAGAGGCACAUCCAGCCAGCUCUUGGCUGCUAGUGAUGCAGACCUUCAGCUGAUGUUGGUCAAUUUCAGAGGGAAGCAAUGAGACUGAAACUCCUGCGCCUUCAAACUACAUCUUUUCACUCUUUAACUACAAUAUGCCGAUGCCAAAGUUUUAAUAAAACUGGACAUCGUCUUCUAAAGCUGGAUAAUGAUGUUGACAGAACGGAUCACGGAACAGCUAAGAAGAUUGGGAACUCGUAUGCUCCAAAGAUUGCUUCCCCUUGUUUGACAAGUCCCUGUAUGCAAGUCAAGAAUUGGCAAAUGAUCCAAGGAAAUGUAUCUGCUUUGGGAAAAAGUGUUUAUUAUCAGGGUGGGGAGAUGUUUUUCCCACCCUGGAAACGUUUUGGCUUGGCAGCAAUGGAAAACUACACACUCAAUGUGGAGUAUAUUAAAAAGCUCGGGAACAUAUCGUCAAGAUUUUACUCGAUUGUAUCAACUAGUAAAAUUAUUCCAAAACCAAGUACCCAGCCAGUUAAAAGGCCACCAAAGGCACCAAGGACCAAGCAGCCCUCCAGAGCUAACCAGCCGCUAUUGUCAGACAUGGAGAAUCUGAUGCAGUGCACAGCCUUUGCAACAGCAGAUGAAUAUCAUCUUGGUAAUCUGUGUCAUGACCUGACUUCCCAUGGAUAUGUUGAAAUAACAAGUUUGCCCAGAGAUGCUGCGAACGUUUUAGUGAUGGGUACUGAGAAAUCCGCGAAAGAAGAUGAUCCUGGCAUGAUUUUUUUCUUCAGGGAAGGGGCUGUUGUGUUUUGGAAUGUGGAUGAGAAAAGUAUGAAGAAUAUAAUGCGAGUGCUGGAACAGCAUGAAAUUCAGCCAUAUGAAAUUGCAUUAGUCCACUGGGAAAACGAAGAGAUGAACUAUAGAAUAGGAGAAGGGCAAUCAAAGCUUCAUAAGGGAGAAAUCUUGUUAAAUUCUGAGCUGGAUACUGAUGAAGUCAUUCUGCAGAAAUUUGCCUUUUCAAAUGCCCUGUGUCUUUCUGUAAAACUGGCUAUUUGGGAAUCGUUAUUGGAUAACUUUGUGGAAUCUAUCCAGUCAAUUCCUGAGAUACUAAAAUCAAGAAGGAAGGUAAAACUAUCUCAUGCAGAUGUCAUGCAGAAAAUCGGAGAACUUUUUGCGUUAAGACACCGCAUAAAUCUGAGUUCAGACCUGCUAAUAACACCUGACUUCUACUGGGAUAGAGAAAAACUGGAAGAGCUUUAUGACAAAACAUGCCAAUUUCUCAAUAUUAAUCGCAGAGUUAAGUUUAGGUUAACAACCCUGCCUCAACCACCUAGACUUAAAUGGAUUCUGUACUUCCUGAGCCAUUAACUUAGGCUUUAAAUAGUUGUAAGAAGAGGAGCUUUAAUUCUUUUUCUGAAACGUGUGCAAGAAAACAAGUUUAAAAAAAAAAAAUGUGAUGUGAAGCAGUCUUCUUACUGAUGACAUGAUCACCCAGGUAAUGAAUGAAAAGCUUCAGCACUGCAUGGAGUUGACAGACCUAAUGCGAAACCACCUGAAUGAAAAGCAUGCUCUGCGCCUCGAGUGGAUGAUAGUAAUACUCAUCACCAUAGAG